rnacentral:rRNA from 1 species
CAAUAGCGUAUAUUAAAGUUGUUGCAGUUAAAAAGCUCGUAGUUGGAUUUCUGGUAGGAGCGACCGUGCCGAACUUGAUUGUUCGAGUAUUGUGUUGUCUUCAGCCAUCCUCGUGGAGAACUUUUCCAACAUUAACUUGUUGGGAUUGGGACCCGCGUCGUUUACUGUGAAAAAAUUAGAGUGUUUAAAGCAGGCAUUAGCUUGAAUACAUUAGCAUGGAAUAAUAAGAUAGGACUUUGGUACUAUUUUGUUGGUUUGCAUACCAAAUUAAUGAUCAACAGGAACAGUUUGAGGAUAUUCGUAUGAACAUGUCAGAGGUGAAAUUCUUGGAUUUUGAUCAGACGAACUACUGCGAAAGCAUUUAUCAAGGAUGUUUUCAUUAA